rnacentral:rRNA from 1 species
CCUACGGGAGGCUGCAGUGGGGAAUAUUGGACAAUGGGCGAAAGCCUGAUCCAGCCAUGCCGCGUGUGUGAAGAAGGCCUUCGGGUUGUAAAGCACUUUCAGUGGGGAAGAAAGCCUUGGGGCUAAUACCCUCGAGGAAGGACAUCACCCACAGAAGAAGCACCGGCUAACUCCGUGCCAGCAGCCGCGGUAAUACGGAGGGUGCGAGCGUUAAUCGGAAUUACUGGGCGUAAAGCGCGCGUAGGCGGUCUGAUAAGCCGGCUGUGAAAGCCCCGGGCUCAACCUGGGAACGGCAUCCGGAACUGUCAGGCUAGAGUGCAGGAGAGGAAGGUAGAAUUCCCGGUGUAGCGGUGAAAUGCGUAGAGAUCGGGAGGAAUACCAGUGGCGAAGGCGGCCUUCUGGACUGACACUGACGCUGAGGUGCGAAAGCGUGGGUAGCAAACAGGAUUAGAUACCCCAGUAGUC